GUUGAGAUGAAACCUUGUCAGCUCGGCCCCUGAAAGACUGGGAUGAGCAGAACUCCCCUGGUUACUCAUGAUGAGCAUGUAUAUGGUGGGUCAAGCUGCUGAAAUCUUGAAGUGAUUUAUAAUGCAGUCCAACCCGAUGAAGGAAAUCCAGCCCAGAGAUGCCUAAUGACCUUCCCAAAGAGUUGAGACUGGAAUUCAUGUCUCCUCAUUUCCAGAGCAAUUUGUUUUUCAGUACAAGUUGUAGAAUGAUGGCAAACAAGCUCUAAAGACUAAGAAAAUGACAUUAGACAAAAAGAAAAUUAGAGCGAUUUUCUUAUUCAAGUUCAAAAUGGGUUGGAAAACAGCAGAGACAAUUUGCGACAUCAACAAUGCAUUUGGUCCAGGAACUGCUAAUGAAUGUACAGUGCAGAGGUGGUUCAAGAAGGUUUGCAAAGGAGACAACAGCCUUAAAGAUGAGGAGCACAGUGGCUGGCCAUCAGGAGUUGACAACAACCAACUGAGAGCAAUCAUUGAAGCUGAUCCUCUUACAACUACAGGAGAAGUUGUCAAAGAACUCAACACCGACAAUUCUAUGGUCAUUUGGCAUUUGAAGUGAAUUGGAAAGGUGGAAAAGCUCCAUUAGCAGGUGUCUCAUGAACUGACUGAAAAUCAAAAAAAUCAUUAUUUUGAAAGUGUUGUCUUCUCUUAUUCUAUGCAACAGCAAUGAACCAUUUCUCAAUCAGAUUGUGACAUAUAACAAAAAGGGAAUUUUGUACAACAACCAGUGAUGAUCAACUCAGUGGUUGGACCUACCAGAAGCUCCAAAGCACUUGCCAAAGCCAAACUUCCACCAAAAAAGGUCAUGGUCACUGUUUGGUGGUCUGCUUCACUACAGCUUUCUGAAUCCUGGAGAAACCAUUACAUCUGAGAAGUAUGCUCUGCAGGUCAAUCAGAUGCACUGAAAACUGCAACACCUGCAGCUGCAUUGGUCAACAAAAAGGGCCCAGUUCUUCUCCAGGACAGCGCCUGACCACAUGUCACACAACCAGUGCUUCAGAAACUUAAAGAAUUGAGCUACGGAGUUUUGCCUCAUCCACCAUAUUCACCUGACCUCUCGCCAACUGAAUACCACCGCUUUAAGCAUCUUGAGAACCUUUUGCAGGAAAAACACAUCCACAACCAGCAGGAGGCAGAAAAUGCUUUCCAAGAGUUUGUUGAAUCCUGGAGCACAUAUUUUUAUGCCACAGGAAUAAGCAAACUUAUUUCUUGUUGGCAAAAAUAUGUUGAUUGUCAGUUCAGUUCAGUCACUCAGUCUUGUCUGACUCUUUGUGACCCCAUGCAGCAUGCCAGGCUGCAGUCCAUGUCCAUGUCCAUCACCAACUCCUGGAGUUUACUCAAACUCAUGACCAUUGAGUUAGUGAUGCCAUCCAGCCAUCUCAUCCUCUGUUGUCCCCUUCUCCUUCCACCUUCAAUCUUUUCCAGCAUCAGGAUCUUUUCCAAUGAGUCAGCUCUUUGCAUGAGGUGGCCAAAGUAUUGGAGUUUCAGCUUCAGCAUCAGUCCUUCCAAUGAAUAUUCAGGACUGAUUUCCUUUAGGAUGGACUGGUUGGAUCUCCUUGCAGUCUAAGGGACUCUCAAGAGUCUUCUCCAACACCACAGUUCAAAAGCAUCAAUUCUUCGGUGCUCAGUUUUCUUUGUA